UGAGGAAUAUUGGACAAUGGGCGCAAGCCUGAUCCAGCCAUGCCGCGUGCAGGAAGAAGCAUCUAUGGUGUGUAAACUGCUUUUGUACGGGAAGAAACACUCCUACGUGUAGGAGCUUGACGGUACCGUAAGAAUAAGGAUCGGCUAACUCCGUGCCGGCAGCCGCGGUAAUACGGAGGAUCCAAGCGUUAUCCGGAAUCAUUGGGUUUAAAGGGUCCGUAGGCGGUUUAAUAAGUCAGUGGUGAAAGCCCAUCGCUCAACGAUGGAACGGCCAUUGAUACUGCUAGACUUGAAUUAUUAGGAAGUAACUAGAAUAUGUAGUGUAGCGGUGAAAUGCUUAGAUAUUACAUGGAAUACCGAUUGCGAAGGCAGGUUACUACUUGUGGAUUGACGCUGAUGGACGAAAGCGUGGGGAGCGAACA
rnacentral:rRNA from 1 species